GAUGAAAAACGUAGCGAAAUGCGAUAAGUAAUGUGAAUUGCAGAAUUCAGUGAAUCAUCGAAUCUUUGAACGCACAUUGCGCCCGCCAGUAUUCUGGCGGGCAUGCCUGUUCGAGCGUCAUUUCAACCAUCAAGCCCUGCUUGCGUUGGGGUCCUGCGGCUGCCCGCAGGCCCUGAAAACCAGUGGCGGGCUCGCUAGUCACACCGAGCGCAGUAAUACAUCUCGCUUUGGGCGUGCGGCGGGUUCUUGCCGUUAAACACCCCCUUUUUACCAAGGUUGACCUCGGAUCAGGUAGGAAUACCCGCUGAACUUAAGCAUAUCAAUAAGCGGAGGA
rnacentral:misc_RNA from 1 species